rnacentral:rRNA from 1 species
AGCCGCCGCGGGAACACCGGCAGCUCUAGUGGUAACAAUUUUAUGGGCCUAAAGCGUCCGUAGCCGGUUUAAUAAGUCUCUGGUGAAAUCCUGUAGCUUAACUGUGGGAAUUGCUGGAGAUACUAUUAGACUUGAGACCGGGAGAGGUUAGAGGUACUCCCAGGGUAGAGGUGAAAUUCUGUAAUCCUGGGAGGACCGCCUGUUGCGAAGGCGUCUAACUGGAACGGUUCUGACGGUGAGGGACGAAAGUUAGGGGCGCGAACCGGAUUAGAUACCCGGGUAGUCCUAACUGUAAACGAUGCGGACUUGGUGUUGGGGUGGCUUUGAGCUGCUCCAGUGCCGAAGGGAAGCUGUUAAGUCCGCCGCCUGGGAAGUACGGUCGCAAGACUGAAACUUAAGGAAUUGGCGGGGGAGCACCACAACGCGUGGAGCCUGCCGGUUUAAUUGGAUUCAACGCCGGACAUCUCACCAGAGGCGACAGCUGUAUGAUAGCCAGGUUGAUGACUUUGCUUGACUAGCUGAGUAGUGGUGCAUGG